rnacentral:lncRNA from 1 species
GGUGUGGGGCGUGGCAGAGGGGCAAGGGACACUGUGGUUAUCUCCUUUUUGCUCCCAGGGCCCAUCAUGGGGUAAGAGGAGGUGGGUGAAGGGCAGUAAGAACAGCCCUAAGAAUUCAAUCAUCCCCAAUUAUUCACAUAACAGCACUGGGAAAUUCUACUUUUUGUCUACCCCUGGAAAGCCCAGGUGACCCUCCGGGUUCCCAGUAGCCCUCUGGGGGCAGUGGGCUGGGGGUGGGAGAGGCAGCUCUUCUGAAUGGGGUGAGCAGGUCUGGCUUCUCGGCUUUGGGCUGCACUCUCCCUGCCCAGCCCAGCCGCCAGCGGCUCCGGGUCACAGACUGGGCUGGGUCCGCUGUCCCACUGAGCACACUGUGCUGGAAACAAGAGUUGGGGCCAGUCUGGGCCACUCCUCCUGCUGGGCAUCCUUCCCAGGGUCAUGCCCAUGAAACGGGAGAGCAGACUCGAGGCCCAGUGUCCUGAGAGGCGGAAACAAUGGGCCCUUUGUCUUCUUUCCCACCUUCCUGCACAGCAGGCCUGGGUCCAGCUCUCUUGAGCCACGACCUGACCCUCAUCUGAACCUCCUCCCGGGGGUUCUGAGACAAUUUCUUGUCCCUGAGAUCAGGUCCCUAAAAAUCGACGCCACUGCUGUGGCCCAGACAACCAGCCCUCCUAUCUCGGCGUCUCGCUGAGGACAUCUUCCCCACCCCCCACAGAGCAGCUUUACAGGUGGUCCUUAUGGGUUAAGGGUUCUAAAGCCAGGCCCACCCCACCCCCGCUUGGUGAUUACCCAACAAUUGCUUCCACUGCUGGUCUGAGCUGGGCUUUGUGACACGCUGGGCUUGGGCCCUUAGGGGCUGCCUCAGAGACAUCGGGUGGACCUAAGCCUCCCCAACACCAAUGAGCUCCCCUUCCCACACCCCUAAUCCAUCCCCUACCCAGUCUCCCUCCCAGUCCCGUUCCAACAACAUUGUCACCCCUCCAGGCCAGCAGCCUGCCCCUUCCCCCUCCCCCACUCGGGGCUCUUCCUCCCGGCCCCCCUCCCACCCUCCCACCCCAAAUGCCUCACAGCCCUCUUCCCGGACUUCGUCCCUGAACCCCAGUCCUCAGGUCCAACACGUGCCCCGCGGGGCUGCCCAAACCCCCACCCCACCCACCUCCAAAUCUCCCUCCCAGUCUGGUUUCAAAUCCCUCUCUCGAAACCCUUCCCUAACCCCCGCUGUGCCCCCCAAGUCCUCCUUCUACAGCCCUGCCACCUCAUCUUCCUAUAUCGGGCCAAUUCAGAACAUCCCGUCCUAUAUCACCCCCUAUGUGCCCCGCUUUCUGAAGGAGCCCCCCUUUUUCCAGCCCCCCACAGCACCACUUCCCCAAAACCCAUGCUUUGCCUGUCCCUCUCCCUGCCCUGCCCGGAAGCCCCCACCCCCUCCUGACUCACUCUACUUACCUCUCCUUCCCCCGCCCCCCCACCACCCCCAGUUUAACUGCCCCUUCCCAACUCCCCCCGGUCUGUUCAUGCCCCCCUCCUCUCUCUCCUACACCCCGCCCGUGGAGGUCCUGGUGAGCGGGAAGCCGCACGUGGUCCCCAACGUACUGCCUGCCACCUUCUACACCCCCUUCUCCCGCUACUACUCCCAGCCCCGCUCCUACCGCUCAGGGUACCGCGGCUACUCCGGCGCCCUGACCCUCCCCUCCAUCUCCCCCUUGCAAUACGACGGCUCUGGGCGCUCUGUCCACUUCUAUCAUGGGUCCUAGGCCGCACGCCUAUUUUGGACCAGAAGCCUCUGCCAGUAAAUUCAAGCUGCUACAUCCGGACUUCAUCAGCUACCUGACAGAAAGGUACGGAGUGGGGUGCCUGAAGAACAGCGUCCCCUUCCUUCCCCCUUUUACACACCCACCCACAUCCAGUCAGCGCCCUCGCACGAGCCCCACGCACUGACCGAUAACCAGAGCUCCACUGUCCCGAGUGCUGUGUGCAAAGCACUGUCACUUCAUUUACUGUUUUAUUUAGCACCUUGAUAGAGGGAGGGUGAUAUAUGUCAGUCACCAGGAAAUGGACAGGAAACUCAGGAUAACUCAAGGAGGUUUAUACAAAGGCACAGACUGGGAGCUGGGACCAUAAGGUGCACAGCAGCAGUGGCGCCGUCAGCAGCAGGGCAUCAGAACCUUCAGGCCCAAACACAGCCAACACAAGGUGCCGGAAGGAACCCGGGGACCAGCCUCAACCCCCUUCCCUCCCUCCUGCCAGGGGUUCUCAAUGUGGAUGUGCAUAUGGUCCUCGUCUGGGGUUGUCACAAGGGUGGUGGCGGCAAGUGCCAUCAGUGGGUAGAGGCCAGGGAUGCUGCUGAACAUCACAAGAAGCACCUGGCCCCAAGUGUCAACAGCACUGAGACUGAGAAACCCUGCUGUGGACCAGAGGCUCGAAUCCCAGGGCAGGGAGCAGUUGGAGAGGGGUGUGUGGAUGUGGGGAGGCAAAUGAAGCCCCUCUAAUUAGUCCCGUGCUACAGAGGAAGACAGGCUCUGAGAGGUCAGGUGAUCGGCCUGGCACAGCUCGAUGUGAACUCAGGCCUGAGGGCAGAGCCCGUGGUCACACCCUGGCCUCACUCUUGGACUGUGUGGGUCCGGUCACAGGGUCUGAGCUCCCUGUCCCUCACACGUGAUUCCUACUUAAUCAAGAUGUGGAGUAGAGAGAAACUGCAGUCUCAGGCUAAAUAAACAGGCCACCUAUGCCCUUGGCAGUGUGGUUACUUAGUAGCUUGGGGUGAAAACAAGCUGUUGCCAAAAGGGGGAACCUGUGGUUCCUUUCUCACCACCCCCUCCCCCAACCUUACCUAAGGUCUCAAAGAUCUUUGUAUUUAGUCCACUUGGACCGAAUAAAGAACUGACUGGAGUAGAAGGCCCUCAGUUUUUGAAGUUUUCCCACCUAUUUGAAUGUGUAGUUGUGAAGUGUGAUGAUAGCCAUCAAGCUAGUGAGCUGAAAUGUCUCUUUUUGCUUCCAGGUUCUUGAAAUCAAAGUUGAUUAACACACAUUUUGGAGACCUAUAUAUGCCUAGUACCGGGGCUCUCAUGCUGCUGACAGCUUUGCAUACCUGUGACCAGGUCAGUGCCUAUGGAUUCAUCACAAGCAACUACUGGAAAUUUUCCGACCACUAUUUCGAACGAAAAAUGAAGCCAUUGAUAUUUUAUGCAAACCACGAUCUGUCCCUGGAAGCUGCCCUGUGGAGGGACCUGCACAAGGCCGGCAUCCUUCAGCUGUACCAGCGCUGACCCCAAUGCACUGAGCCCUUUGCUUCUUCAAGAGUUGCGGCCCUGAUCCUCUCAAGUGGCCAAAAGCUUUUUUAACUUUUCAAUCUUCACCUUCCCUUGCCAACAGAGGGCACUGGGGUGAAUUCAAGAUUUUCAUCGAGGUCUGUUCAAUAUAGGACACCCCAGCUUGUCCUUGGCUCAUCCAAGAACUCUUCUGUAUCUAAAACAAUACAUCUCAAUCUUGGCCAAGGGAAAAUGGACUGCUUUGCUGGAUUGGCACUGAGCAACUUUAGGAAAUGUCGGUGGAGUGUUCAGCAAGAUCAGACAGCAGUCCAGGUCAAAGGCAAACACACACGCUCCAGCCCAAAUCCUCCUGGUGGCACAUCCUACCCCAGAUGCUAAAGUGAUUCAAGGACUCCAGGACACCUCUUAAGAGCCUUUCUAAGAACAUGAUAGGCUUACUUCUGCUCCAUAAUAAAGUGGGAGAAAAAAGCCAGAAUAUAACUUAAGACUAGAUAACUGCGUACAUGAUGGACCAUUUUUUUUUUUUUGGCUGGGUAGAGAAAUCAUAUAAAACGCAGGCUGUUUAGCAUGGAGAUGACUCUCAGAACACUGGGAGGGUCUGGCACUUGAUGGGGGUUAGUUGCUUGGCAGCCUGCCUGCCACUGAGGGAAGUCCCAUUAGAGAUGUAUCACCACCUUGUCACCAACAGGAUGAUGUCACCAGGUAAUAAACCUUCAUCCUCAUAUCAUGGCGUCAGUAAAUUUGAACUCAGCUGACGGUAGUUUCCCAAGUUUAUUGUAAGUGGUUUUAAGUUAAGUCUCAUCCAAACAAGUUAUCACACAGCACUUAACCAAGCCCUGGGAUUUACUGUCUUGAUGACUACACGGCUUUGCACAGUCUGAGAUGCUUCAGUGUGCAAGGCAGCAGCUGGGGGGGAGGAGGGGGGUCUUCACAGGGACAGCUGGCAAGAGACUUCCUGAGGCACAUCAGUUACGUUGGUCAAUUUAGGGCACGGUCUGGUUCUGCAGCUUUGAAAGGUGGAUUCUUUCUAUUAGCACACUUUACAAGAGGGAUUGUAAAGGAUUAACUCAGUCACCAGAAACGAAACACCACUUCAGAAAUUCAGAGACCUCUGAUCAACAGAACAGACAUUUGGGCUUUAACUGCUAAAGCAGCUACCUACUUGGGGAAACCAUGGCAUUCUGCUGCCUGGACAGCAGGAAUUAAGAGAGAUUUCAGAGUUACUGGCACGAGGACAAAGCCUCUCAGCUCGCUUCACCUUGGCAACCUUAAACAGUCCCUCCUUGGUCUCUAUGAUAGCAGUAUGUUCCUUUGGAUGGAAUACUUGGUUUGGAAAUAAUGUAGUCAAAUGUAGGAUAUGUAAGUACUCCUCAACAGUCACAAUCCAUCCUAGUAUCUUAAAUAGUGAUUUUUUUUUUUUAAUUUACAAAAGAGGUUUAUUGGACUUACAGUUCUACAUGGCUGGGAAGGCCUCACAAUCAUGGCGGAAGGUGAAAGCCACAUCUCACAUGGCAGCAGAUAAGAGAAAAAAAGGUAGUGAUCUUUUAGUAAAGAAACCUGAGACUGGUAGUGGGCUUGGAGCCAGAGGAUCGCUUAAGUCCGGGAGUUCGAGACCAGCCAGGGUAACAAAUUGAGACCCCCCCCCAACUUUAAAAUUAAAAAACGAAAGAAAAAAUAGCUGGGUGUGGUGGCUCACACCUGUAAUCCUAGCACUUUGGGAGGCCAAGGCGGGUGGAUUGCCUGAGCUCAGGAGUUUGAGACCAACCUGGGCAACAUGGUUGAAACCCUGUCUCUACUAAAACAAAAAAAAUCAGCCAGGUGUGGUAGCGUGCACCUGUAGUCCCAGUUACUUGGGAGGCUGAGGCACAAGAAUUGCUUGAACCUGGGAGGUAGAGGUUGCAGAGAUCAUGCCACUGCACUCCCAGCCUGGGUGACAGAGCAAGACUGUCUCAAAAACAACAACAACAACAACAACAAAACAAAACAAAAAAAACCUCUCAAAAAAAUGAAAAAAAAUUUAAAUUUAAAUUAAAAAAAAAAAUGCUGGGUCUGAUGGCUCACACCUGUCAUCUCAGCACUUUGGGAAGCUGAGGCAGGCAGAUCACAAGGUCAGGAGAUAGAGACCAUCCUGGCCAACAUGGUGAAACCCAGUCUCUACUAAAGAAGGUACGCGCCUGUAGUCCCAGCACUCAGGAGGCUGAGCCAGGAGAAUUGCUUGAACCCGGGAGGUGGAGGUUGCAGUGAGCCAAGAUUGUACCACUUCACUCCAGCCUGGCGACAGAGUGGAACUCCGUCUCAAAAAAUAAAAUAAAAUAAAAUAAAAUAAAAUAAAAUAAAAUAAAAUAAAGCAAAAAUAUAAAAUGUUAAAAAAAAAACAAAAAAAGGGAAAAA